rnacentral:misc_RNA from 1 species
AAUCCAAUCAAGCUUGGCUUGGUAUUGGGCGCCGGGACUCCCCGCGCCUCAAUUUCACCGGCUGGCCGCCGCCCGUCUUAGCGUUGUGACACACUUUUCGCUGGCGAUGGGAAGCGGCUCACGCCGUUAGAAUCCAAUGAAUUUCAAUCAAAAUUCUGAUUAGG